ACCUAAAAUCCAAAUGUGGAGCCUUCCUCCAUGUUUCCCCGAACUUAUCUUGCAGUUUCAGGUCAAGCGCUCCGAAAGGAGUAUUUCAAUUACUGAAAUUGCUGCCGCAUAUGUGAAUUUCAAACUCAAAACCACAUAACACAGUAAUAAUACUUUCAGUUUCAUGGAGAUCGACCGAGCAAAGUUCCUCUGCAGCUACGGCGGCGAGAUCAAGUCCAGCGGCAGCAACAACAAGCUCGCCUACGUCGGUGGCACCAAUAAGCUUCUUUAUGUUGAGCGUAGAAUUGACUUCACAGCCAUAGUUGCCGAAAUCUCCAGCCUCUUUGACGGCGCCUGCAACGGCGAUUACUUCUUCAAAUACCAAGUCCCCGGCAGCGAUGACCUCAAUGCUCUCGUCUCCGUCACCAACGACAGAGACCUCCACAACAUGAUGCUCAUGUUCGAUCAACUCUACCGCGAUUCCCCUGGAUUCCCCCGCAUGAGACUAUUCCUCUUCCCAAACCCUAACAAACCUCUCGAUUCGGUUAAGCCAGACUCUAAUGGGCUAUCUUCGAAUCUUUGGAAGCAUGAUGUGUUUAUCAGCUUUAGAGGGAAGGACACUCUUACCGGAUUCACUUCCCAUCUUGUCAAAGCUCUGAAUAAAAAACAUAUAAAAACCUUCAUUGGUGAUGAGCUUCACAAAGGGGAUUGCAUCUCGGAUUCUCUUACAAGAGCUAUUGACAAUUCAUCUGUAUCUAUUGUGAUCUUGUCAGAGAAUUUUGUUACCUCAAGUUGGUGCGUCGAUGAGUUAUUGAAAAUAAUGGAGUGCGGAAGGAAAGUUAUACCUGUGUUUUAUGGUGUGGAUCCAUCUGAUGUACGAAAGCAGCUAGUAAGUUUCAAUGAAAAAUUCAAGUCUCACUUGCAGAGUAACAUUAACAAUCUUCUGAAAUGGCUGGAUGCUCUCGCCAAAGUUGCGGAUUUAGAAGGCUGGGAUUCCAGCUCUUGUAGGGACGACUUUGAACUUGUUGAAAAGAUUGUCAAAGAUGUUUUGCGAAAGCUGAAUAAUCCUUGCCUGCCUAAGGAUAUCAAGGGUGUAGUUGGUAUUAAUAAAAAUCUUGAAAAGUUAGAAUUGUUAUUAAGUUCGGUUCCUGAUGAACAAACUGGAAUAAUCGGGAUUUGUGGAAUGGCAGGAAUAGGCAAGACGACUGUAGUGAAGAAAUUAUUUGAGAAACAUUCUUAUUGGUAUGAAGGUUCCUGUUUCUUAGAAGGUGUUCUGGAAAGAUUGGAAAAGUAUGGGCAGGAGAUAGAUGAGUUGUGUAAUCAACUUCACUCCAAGUUGUUAGAAGGAAAAGACUUCCCAAAUAGCAUGGCAGAUACAAAUUCUGCAAAGUGCUGUCUCUGCAGACAAAGAAGUUUCAUAGUUCUUGAUGAUGUGGGUAGUUCAAAGCAAUUAGAAUACCUAGUUGGAGACCUUCAAUGCUAUGGUGCAGGAAGUAGAAUAAUUGUAAUUACAAGGAACAAGAGUGUGCUGGAAAAAAGAGUUGAAAAAAUUUAUAAGAUGGAGGUGUUAGAUUUUCAAGAUUCCCUUACUCUGUUUAGCUUGAAUGCAUUCAAUCAAAAUUAUCCAAAAACGGGAUACCAAGAGCUAUCAUGGAAAGCAGUUACCUAUUGCAAAGGUGUCCCGUUAAAUUUAAAAGUAUUGGGUUCUUUUCUUCAUUCCAAGAGUGAAACUGAAUGGGAUAGUGCGCUGCAAAAACUCGAGAAGAAUCCUAAUGCAUCAAUUCAAAAUGUGUUAAGAUUGAGUUAUGAUGGGUCAGAUUAUCAGCAGAAUCACAUUGUUUUAGACAUUGCAACAUCUUUUAAGGGAGAGCAAAAAGAACAGAGAAUUGAUGUAUUAAUAAGUUCCCUUCUUGAUGAGGCUCUAUUAGCUAUAUAUGAUCAUUUUGAGUUGUUGCAGGAUUUGAACAAGAAAUGGGGAGGGGAAUCAUUUGUCAGAAAUCUAUCAAGAAUCCUGAAAAUCAUAGCCAUUUGUGGGGUUUUGGUGAUAAUUGUGAUGUUUUGGAAAACAGCAAGGUAUCGGACAUAAUUGUUUUUAGGGUAAAUUACACUAACCUUUCUUGAGGUUAUCUGAUAUUACACUUGGCAUUGCUGAUUUGUCAUAUUUACAUUAGCAUCCCUUAAUGUUAUGUUUAUAGGAUAUGCCAAUUUCGCAUAUCAUCAGAGCCACGUUUGUCAAAAAAUAAAAAGGAACUCAUUCAAUUGAAGGAGUAAUAAAGUUAUGUCUCAAACUUGAUAAAAGCUAUGAUGAGUACUGGCACUUUCAAUCAUCUCCCCAAUUAAACUUUGAAGAUUAUGUGAUCUGCAGCUUCCUAUGUGAUUGGAGUCAUUUACUGAUAUAAAAAAGAAAAAAAAAAAGAAAAAGAGAAAGAACACGUGUGUUUAGAAGCUUGUUACUUUGCAUGGCAAAAGGUCAACUUAAACGACUUUGGGAUAGGGUGCAGGUUUGUAUAUAUACAUUAUGCACAUAUAUGUAUAUAAUCUGUGCUUUACCUUUCAGUUGAACAUUGUAUCUGAUUUAUUAUUAUUAUUAUUAUUAUUAUUAUUAUUAUUAUUAUUAUUAUUAUUAUUAUUA